AUACGAAGGGGGCUAGCGUUGCUCGGAAUUACUGGGCGUAAAGCGCACGUAGGCGGCUCUUUAAGUCGGGGGUGAAAUCCUGGAGCUCAACUCCAGAACUGCCUUCGAUACUGUAGAGCUUGAGUUCGGGAGAGGUGAGUGGAACUGCGAGUGUAGAGGUGAAAUUCGUAGAUAUUCGCAAGAACACCAGUGGCGAAGGCGGCUCACUGGCCCGAUACUGACGCUGAGGUGCGAAAGCGUGGGGAGCAAACAGGA
rnacentral:rRNA from 1 species